UGGGGAAUAUUGGACAAUGGGCGAAAGCCUGAUCCAGCAAUGCCGCGUGAGUGAUGAAGGCCUUAGGGUUGUAAAGCUCUUUUACCAGGGAUGAUAAUGACAGUACCUGGAGAAUAAGCUCCGGCUAACUCCGUGCCAGCAGCCGCGGUAAUACGGAGGGAGCUAGCGUUGUUCGGAAUUACUGGGCGUAAAGCGCACGUAGGCGGCGACUCAAGUCAGAGGUGAAAGCCCGGGGCUCAACCCCGGAACUGCCUUUGAAACUAGGUUGCUAGAAUCUUGGAGAGGUCAGUGGAAUUCCGAGUGUAGAGGUGAAAUUCGUAGAUAUUCGGAAGAACACCAGUGGCGAAGGCGACUGACUGGACAAGUAUUGACGCUGAGGUGCGAAAGCGUGGGGAGCAAACA
rnacentral:rRNA from 2 species